rnacentral:rRNA from 1 species
GACGAACGCUGGCGGUGCGCCUAACACAUGCAAGUCGAACGGUGAAGCGGGCUUCGGCCCGUGGAUCAGUGGCGAACGGGUGCGUAACACGUGGGCAACCUGCCCCUCACUCUGGGAUAACUCCGGGAAACCGGGGCUAAUACCGGAUACUCCGGCCGAACCGCAUGGUUCAGCCGGGAAAGGUCCGCCGGUGAGGGAUGGGCCCGCGGCCUAUCAGCUUGUUGGUGGGGUAACGGCCUACCAAGGCGACGACGGGUAGCUGGUCUGAGAGGACGACCAGCCACACUGGGACUGAGAUACGGCCCAGACUCCUACGGGAGGCAGCAGUGGGGAAUCUUGCGCAAUGGGCGAAAGCCUGACGCAGCGACACCGCGUGAGGGACGAAGGCCCUCGGGUUGUAAACCUCUUUCGGCAGGGACGAAGCGAUCGUGACGGUACCUGCAGAAGAAGCUCCGGCUAACUACGUG